CGUGGCUUCCGGCGUUUGGCGGGGUCUUUGUCUCUCGCUGGCGCUGGCACAGGAGCUUGGGAUCCGUCUCCUCUUUCGUCUCCUCCACCUUGGGAGCCCCGGGCUACUCUCUCACAGCCCCUGUUGCCCUGUGAUCUGUAGGUCCUUGGGGACGCACAGUUAAGGUGCCAGGACAUCCUGGAAGCUGGGAAAUGAUUUCUUCUAGACCAUGGCUGGAGAAGUAAAGAAAGUGGGUUUUGCCUGAUUCAGGGACUAUAGAGAGAACCAAGUUCUGCAGGCCUGUCACCUGUCUCAGGUGAGUAUGAAUUCUCUUGUGUUUUUGACAGAUAGUUGCAGUGGCAGGACCAAAGUCAAAUGAGUUAUAGGCAAGUCUACAGUAAGAUGUGGCAGUAUUCUGUUUUGAAGCCGGGACCAUGAUUGGCAAGCUUGCCACUUGGUCAAGUGCUUACCCUCUGAAGAUGUCUUCCUUGGUCUUUGCCUCCAGCUGGGUGUCACAUACUCUGAACUGGAUUCCAAGGCUUACAUGAAUGCACUUAUGUUUGCUGUGGCAGCUGCAUUAUGUUGUGAGGGAUGUGCAUGUAGAACCACCCAUUCUGUCGUCUUGCUUAUGUUACUCUCGUUUAUAUUUCACUUUCUGAAAUGAAUGUAAAGCUGGUGAUUUUUAGAUUCAAAAAUUCUAAAAUAAAUUGCUGAAAUUUACACAUUAUGUAAGCUAUUAAUAAAAUUUCUUGUAGGUGAAACAUAUUUAUUAAAAUUUUUGUGUGUAAUUUCAAGCUUACUGCAGGCAGAAAGGAAUCAUUAACAUUUAUAUUCUUUUUUUAGUCUGUAUCUAAAUGAUGGUAUUUUUAAUUCCAGAUAUUUACUUUAUACUUCAGUAAUGCUCAGCGUAUUUUGCAAAAUUUUUGUUGUUCUUUUAUUUCGAAACAUAAGGCUUUUUUAGCUCCUGAAAACUAUAUUAUAGUCAUAGAGUUUUAUUAUAUUUUGUGGUAAGAAGAGCAGAAACAUAUUGAGGACAUAAUUAAAUUCUCCUAUCUUUUUAAUGAUUAUUAAUUAAAUUCUUCUAAUUAGAGCCUGUUAUUAAUGAUUGUAAUGUAUUUUCUGUAUAAUUUUACUGCAAUUUAUUAAUUUCCAAUGACUUAGAAUGUCUGCUUUUCAUGAGUGCAUGCAGUUGAAUGAUGUAGAUAUCUAAAGGGUAAUUUUUUGGCCGGGUGUGGUCACUCAUGCCUGUAUUCCCAGCACUUUCGGAGGCCGAGGCGGGUGGAUCACGGGGUCAGGAAAUCAAGACCGUCCUGACUAAUAUGGUGAAACGCUGUCUCUACUAAAUAUACAAAAAAUUAGCUGGGCACAGUGGCGGGCGCCUGUAUUCCCAGCUACUCGGGAUGCUGAGGCAGGAGAAUGGCAUGAAUCCAGUGGGCAGAGCCGAGAUCACGCCACUGCACUCCAGCCUGGGUGACAGAGCAAGACUCUGUCUCAAAAAAAAAAAAAGUUAUUUUUCAUUGUAAAUCCAUGCUUUUUUCAGGAUUUUAUGCAUUAAAAUCUCUCUUCUUAUUUUCAAUUGCGUGUUAUUGCGUUUCUUUUCUUGGGUAUGUUUUCUCAGAUCAGUUAAUUGUAUUUUUGCUUUUAAAGCUUGAUAUCAUGAGUUGAAUGAUAAUUUUUAGCUCGAUACACUUUAUCUCAAUGUGAUGUUUAAUAUAUGUGUGAAUUAGCUGUGUUUGUUGGUUAUAGAUAUAUCUGUGAGGUUUUCACCUAUGUAAGUCUGACAUCUUUUUUGUUUGUUUGUUUGUUUGUUUUUUAGUUUCAGAUAGGCUUUUUUUUUAAAAGAGAAUUUUAAAACAGAGUAAAAAGAGCAGAAAUCAGUUAUUUGUCCUCUUGCAGGGUGGGGAGAUAACUUCCUUCCCCACAGGUUUGAGGCUAUGGCUAAGUGGUGAGUCUUGGGGAGAUGCAGAAAUGAUCCAUCCCAGGCACUUGGCUGGACUUAAGUAAGCACAGCCUUUGGGCCACAAGACCUGAUGGCUUCGGUACUGGUCUGGACAUAAGUCCCCAUCUACCCAGAAAUGUAGUCUUUUGUCUGCAACAACUGGCUGGAGAAAUAUUUCAGAAAGAUGUGUGUCUGGAACACCCAAAGGCAUACCUUUCCUUUCUCCUUGGCAUAGGCCUUGCUGCACUGAGGAAACACCAGGUUUGCAAUGGAGCCUUCAAGAGUCUUCAUCCCUAUGGAGCUCAGGGGCUCAUAGGGUGACAGGAGAGGAGACAAGCUAACUUGGGAAGUAUUCAUCCUUCAGCUUCUCCCCCACUGAAACACUAUAUAUUAGGGCCACAGUUCAUGGCAAAACAUACAUGCUCUCUUUCUUUCUCUCACACCUACAUCUCGGGAACCCAACAACUUGAUGGCAGGUAGCUCUGGGUAUCCUUGGUCUGGCAUUCACCCACUGGGCAUCUAAGCUGUGCUAAAGCUCUUUUCAAUCAUUUCUUACUCUUUCCAGGCCCAUGUGGGUAGGUGUUCCAGCCUUCACUCUUUCAGGCUGAUCAUAAAGGCACAGUGUGGGAAAAUCCCCUACUGUGAUGGCCAUUGCUGGGAAGCAGGGAAGGCUAAGGGCCCACUGCUGCCCAAGGCUAGUGUAGACACCAUCUGCUCCAGUCGUCUCCUCAAAGAUUGAUAUCAGGUGCAGCAGCUGCUGUCUGGAAUGUUAUCAAACCAGGACUGCACAGGCACUGAAUUCUCUGUGUGGAAGAUGUAAGAAGCAGGCGAGUUGUCCAGGAUGACAGUUUUCCUCAGGUCCGUCCCCAGAUGGCUGAGGUCCUUGACAUAGCAGCCCUGGUGGAACAAACAUGACUCAUGGGCUAGGCCACCCCAGAACACCCCACACUGGUCCAGCACACCCAUCACAGUGUGUUCGGAACUGGUAGUUUCUUAUUCUCACUGACUUCAAGAAUGAAGCUGCAGACCCUCAUGGUGAGUGUUACAGUUCUUAAAGGCGGCAUUUUCGGAGUUUGUUCCUUCUGACAUUCGGAUGUGUUCAAAAUUUCUUCCUUCUGAUGGGUUCGUGGUCUUGCUGGCUCAGGAAUGAAGUUGCAGAUGUUCGUGGUGAGUGUUACAGCCCUUAAGGCGGCACGUCUGGAGUUGUUCUUUCCUCCCAGUGGGUUUGUGGUCUCGCUGGCUUCAGGAGUGAAGUCGCAGACCUUCACGGUGAGUGUUACAGCUCAUAAAGGCAUUGUGGACCCAAAGAAUGAGCAGCAGCAAGAUUUAUUGCAAAGAGCAAAAGAACAAAGCUUCCAUAGUGUGGAAGGGGACCCGAGUGGGUUGCCACUGCUGGCUCGGGCAGCCUGCUUUUUUUCACUUAUCUGGCCCCACCCACAUCCUGCUGAUUGGUAGAGCCAAGUGGUCUGUUUUGGCAGGGCUCUGAUUGGUGCGUUUACAAUCCCUGAGCUAGAAACAAAGGUUCUCCUUGUCCCCACCAGAAUACCUAGAUACAGAGUGUCAAUUGGUGCAUUUACAAACCCUGAGCUAGAUACUCAGUGCUGAUUGCUGUAUUUACAAUCCCUUAGCUAGACAUAAAGGUUCUCCACAUCCCCACCAGACUCAGGAGCCUAGCUGGCUUCACCCAGUGGAUCCUGCACCGGAUCUGCAGGUGGAGCUGUCUGCCAGUCCUGCGCCGUGCGCUCGCACUCCUCAGCCCUUGGGUGGUUGAUGGGAUUGGGUGCCGUGGAGGAAGUGGUGGUGCUCGUUGUGGAGUCUCCGGACACACAGGAGCCGAUGGAGUGGGGGAGGUUCAGGCAUGGCAGGCUGCAGGUCCAGAGCCCUGCCCCGUGGGAAGGCAACUAAGGCCCAGUGAGAAAUUGAGCACACCAACUGCUGGCCCAGGUUCUAAGCCCCUCACUGCCCAGGGCCGGUGGGGCAGGCCGGCCACACCGAGCGCGGGGUCCAACGAGCCCACGCCCACCCGGAACUCGCGCUGGCCCGCAAGCACGGUGCGCAGCUCCAGUUCCCGCCCGCACCUCUCCGUCUACAACUCCUCGCAAGCUGAGGGAACCAGCUCUGGCCUUGGCCAGCCCAGAAAGGGGUUCCCACACUGCAGCGGCGUGCUGAAGGGCUCCUCAAGUGCCGCCAAAGUGGGAGCCCUGGCAGAGGAGGCCCCGAGAGCGAGUGAGGGCUGUGAGGACUGCCAGCACAAUGUCACCUCUCAACAGGAUCUGCAUACUUGUUCAGGCUGGAAUGAAGACAGCAAUGAAAAAAACACAUUUAAGAAGUUCCUCCUGUCAUCUCAGGAUCUUAUCCAUAUAAGGCCUCAUGAGCAAAUGGAUCUGGUGUCUGAUCCCCUCAAUCUCUACAGGCAUUAGGCAGUCAGCAUUGCUGAAUGCCUUCAAGGAGCUAUGAACAAGGGUUUCAUCCAGGUCAGUGCUCACACAGAUCCUUCCUUGAUUUUUCUCUGUCACCUCUGGGAGCAGGCAGGUUCCUGGGAUCUGAUAAAACUGAUAAUGGAGACUCUGGAGCUGAUCCGACUUAGCAAUGGUGUUGACUUCCUAAUUAUGUGUGAAGAGCUUAGCAGGGGAACGUGACUGGCCAACAUGCUGGGUGCAAGAAGAGCAGAAAGGGGCCUUCUAAGGUGUGACAAACAUGAGACCUCUUCGGAGAGCACUUUGGAAACCAGGACUUGCUUGGCUGAAUGCUAUCCCAGUGAAUAUACCUGCCCUGUUUGUUGAAUCUACUCAUCCUUAAAGGGACAGGAUCUUGCUCUAACACCCAGACUGGAGUGCAGUGGUGCAAUCCUAGCUCAAUGGAAGAGAGACUAUCCCUGUCUUUACACCUGGUAGUAUUUCCAAGAGAAAGCUGUGAGAUUCUGCUUCAAAUCACCUCUCAAACAAAUAAAAAACAGACUUGGGAAAGGUACUACACUCAUUCUGCUGAAGAAAUUGAGCAAGAAUGAUUUCUAAGACCCCGAACUCCAGAUAUGCGAUGGGGCAAAUCCUGAAGUGUACAUGGAUAUCUCUCACAGCUAAAGCAUCCCUCACCCCUAUCCAGCGCUUCUUACUCCUGCCACAAGAGAAUCACCUGCGGGGAGGAAAACUUUCAAAAUCCCUAAAAUCGAAGUUGUAACCGAUCAAUUAAAUCAGAAUCCUUGGAGUUGGGUCUGCAAAAAAUACGGUUUAAAGCUGUGCAGGUGAUUACAAUAUGUAGGCAAGCCACAAAAUCGUGGCUUUAACCAGCAGCUUUUGUUAGAAAUGAUUUCUCAAAUGAAUGUAAAAACGUUUGCUGCUGAAUUGUGACCUUCCAAUUUUACUUGCUUUUCCUACAAUGUAUAUUUUGCAGACCCAGGCUUGCUUCUCGUCCUGUUCCUGAUUCACCCAGUGCCCUGUGUAUUCAGUGCAUCCUGUGCACGGGUCACUGUGCUGUGUACCCUGGCCUGGGUGAGCAUCAUUCUUCGGGGAGAACCUUUCUGAAAACAAAGCUGCAUUUCAAAAAAUUAAAACCAUGCUACUUACUGUAUUGAGGUGAAAAUUAAAAGACCUAAGGGACUCAUCCAAAAUUUAAAACAUAAAUAAAUAACUUGGAACAUUAAUAUACACCUGAUGAUGUCCUGAGUGAACAUGCCCCACUUUAAAACAAAACAAAACAUUACUAUUAUUCUAAAAUAUUAAUUUAGGAUUGUUAUGAAAAUAUGUACUAUUUAAAUUUUUAUUGGUGUAUAACAUGCAUACAGCAAUAUAGGAACAAAACAUUUAUGGAAUGCUUGAUGAAUUAUUACAAAAUAAAUACACUUGUGUAUCUAAGAAUCAGAUUUGUUCAUGCCCUUGACACUUUCUCCUUUCCAAAGGUAACCAAGAUCUUAAGAGCUAAGUGCAGAUAAACUUUGUCAUUUUGUACAAGUGUUUUAUUACACAUCAUUAAAAAUGUAUACGCAAUACAAAAAAAGUAUAACAGACCAGUCACCAAGCUUUAACAGCUACUAGUCAUGUGUCAUUUUUGUUUCACCUAUACUUCCAGCCAUUCCCACUCCAAUUUCAUUAUUUUUUAGGCUUUUUGGAUAAAAUAUAUAUUCAUUGCAAGGCACAAUGUGAACUGUAAAUAGUAGAGAGAUGGGGUUUCACCAUGUUGGCCAGGCUAGGCUUGAACUCCUCACCUCAGGUGAUCCACCCCCUUCAGCUUCCCAAAGUGCUGGGAUUACAGGCAUGAGCCGAUAUACUCGGCCUGAGAAUUCAUAUUUCUAACAAAGUACAAAUCCAUAGGGCGCACAUGACCACUGCAAUGUCUGUCUACAGUAAAUACAGUUUGAUGAAUAAAAUGAAAGGCAAUUGACCUAAGGUGAAAAAAAAACACAAAAAACAAUCAAACCAUGGGUAGUAUGUGCUAUCUGUAAGAACAUUUGGUUAAGAAUAACAAACCAGUUUUAUCAUUUUAAUAACCAAAAUUGACAAAAUUUCUAGUUUUUCUUUCAUAGAAAUGCUCUUUGCAAGAAAAAAUUUUCAUAUAGUGAGAGCAAAAAUGACAACCAUUUGCAAGUAAAUGUCUUAUGAAAUUAAGUAGCAGAUAUCAUCAACCUCAAUACCUUCAGAUAGUUACCCCUAACUCAAUCAUUUACAUACCAAGUGCAGAUAAUUUUCAUAGUUUCCUAUUAAAAUUAUAUUUUAAUGCCUUACAAAUUGUGACUGUUUUUAAAGUUCACCAACUAAAAUUUUGUAUAUGACAUAUGAUAAAUUCCACUUCAAGUCACCUUACAUUUACUUAAUUUUAUUAGGCAGUGUCUGUCUACCACCCAGUAAUACGUGGGGAUUCUCCCUCCAUUUGCACAGACAUCAUAGCUGGGGAACAGGGAUUCACAAGACCCAGGUUGUUCCCUACAUAUUUUUCCUCCUCAGACAUCAGUUCAUCAGUCAAUCAAGUCAUGUGAGAGUGGAGGCCAUGUAUUCCAUAUUCUUGGGCACUCUCCUCCAAGGAGGAAAAGGCCAGGAGGUCCUAUUAGAGGAUGCACUCUGAGAGGCUGGGCUCCUAAGGUGUGAGAGUUCUAACCAGCAGGUGUAGACUUUUCAGGAGUGAGGAAUGAGGCAGGUAUUCCAAACCUGGAGCUUCAUCACCUUUUGUUUCAUCUCAAGACAAUUCUGAGGCGCUGUUUUGGAACGUGUCUGGAAGGUGAACGUUGAAGAAGAGUGUGGGCUUUGAUGUGACUCAGAUGAGAUCUUUCUUAGGGAGGCAAGAAUUCAAUGCCCAGAAUCUGGGCAGGUGUCUUUGAGGUCAGUAGGUUGCCUCUUUGUAUCCAAGUCCAUUGCUACUAGGUUGGGGGCUGGGGAUUCUAAAUGGCUUCCAGACCGCCUCUCUGAUUCUCUUUUGGAGAUGGGGUCUGAAAAAGACAAUGUCAGUAUUUUUCGGAAAUUCUAGAAAGUCUGUUUGGAAACCUAGGAAGACCUCUUGCCUAUUGCCUAAAUGCUCCAUUUGCAGCUCUAGCCACGUAGAUGCUUGGUAGGUAUAGAGCUGGGUUUGCAUUUAUAUCAGCAAAACCUAUGUCAGAGUUGAGGAAGUAGUAAGGACAAAGUGUCUUGGUCGCAGGCCGGGAAACAUCUUAAAAGCAAACUUCUAGCCUGCUGACUCUUGGCAAUGAGUGUUGGGUCCUGGCCAAAGUGCCUUGAAUGCAGCAUGAGGCCAAUCCAUAAAUCCAACUUCUAAUGGAGAAUUAUUAAUAUUUUUUCAUUUUGAAUCAAUCAGGGUGAAAUUACCUUGCUAUUGGUUUGCUUACUUUUUAUUAUUUCAUAUAAAAUCUAAGACAAAAUACAUUAAAUGCUUACUGACAUAUGUAUUUACUCUUCACCUGGCUGAUAAUAUCUCCCUAAUUUUAAACUUUCUUCCAUUUUGUAGGUUUCAACUUAUUUUAUUGUAAGAUAGUAUUAAAUCUAACAUAGGCAUUGUCACUUUUACAUAUAAUUUUAUUUUAUUUCAUAUAUUUCCUAUUGGCUUUUUACAUUUAAAUUAUGGACUGUUUCAUCAUAUAAAAAGCUUCAUUUAUAUUUAAACAAUAAGUCUUUGGAUUUUUUUGUCUUGUAAUUUCCAUAUUACAUAGUAAUGAGAUAAACAUUAAUGUUUACAGGAUAUUUUAAAUUUUAGAUAAUUACUCAUUUUAUCCAUGUGAAAUUUGUUUUUUACUGCAUGUGCGGGUUGGAGAACUGUUUUCACUUCUGAUUCAUCUUUAUUCUUAUGUCCUCAGAGCUCAUACCUCUUGUUGUUGGGGGAUUGCAGUUUAUAAUUCCAAUAAACGGGGCAAAUUUAAUAAUAACAUAAUACAAAUGAGUUUGAACGGAGGACAGGUCUUCAAAGCAUACACAACAUGGGCCUACAUAUGUACAACAAUAAUAAUUUAUAAGUUACAGUUUGAAUAGAAAGUAAAAGUACGAAAAAUUUGUUGAAGAAAAUUAAAAUGGAGAUCAUGUCUCAAUAAUCUCUGAGCAGACAAAAUUAGUUAGGUCUCAUAAAUGAUCUCAACCUUCCUUGAUUUGCAAAUAUAAGCAAAACUUAAAUUAUUUCUUGUAGCUGCCUAUUCAAAAAACAGAAAUGAAGGUCAACCAAUCCGGUGCAGCCAACGACCUUAUAUAAAUAGAAACUGUUCAACAAGGUAAACAGACAAACAAAAAACAAUUAAAAAAGUUGUGCUACCACCAAUCAAAUGAUUUCUUUGUUUCUACAUUUUUCCAAUAUAUACUUGCUUCUUACACUGUCAAUGAAUCACUGAAUAUCUUUCUGUCUGAUAUUUUAUAAUUUUUCAAUUGCUCUUACUCAAAUAAACACUUUACA